rnacentral:lncRNA from 1 species
AUGUUGUCCCAGUGUUCUCUAAGCCUCGUCCGGGGUUUGGCCGGUGUAGGCCGUCAUUAAGAACGUGUUUUUAUCUGACUUGCCUAGUUAAAUAAAGUUUAGAUAAAAAUGUCAGUGUUCGUCAAAGUCUUGUAAAUAUUAAUGGAUCCAGCACACCUUCUGCACGUGCAAGUCACUACAACUAUUUUCCACGUGAUUCUGUCUGACUCCUGAUGCUUUACCGUCACUUUCCACAGUAAAAGCAGCAGAAUAUUUCAUCGAGCUAUAGCCUGGGGGUGAAGUGUGCAAAAAAACAUUCUGACACACUAUCAACUCUCUGACGUUGAGAUAACUUCCCGGUACUGAUCAAGUGUAACAAGAUGCCUGAAGCAGAUUCAGAAAGAUACUUCCUAAAUGUGAGGACACGGUUGCAUAUUCAGCUAUUCCCAUUUCCUGUCAUUCCCUUCCGAAACAGCGCCAAAUUGUAUCACGGCUACUGUCCCUAAAGGAGGGAACCAGUUUAAAUGCUGCAUGGUAAGUAAUUGCUCCAUUUUCCAUAUUAAAUCAUUACUGUAUUCACUCUUAUUCCUAUAAAAGAAUCCAGUCAUUGCAUUACAAUAUGUUGUAGUGUUAAAUCAUAAAAUAAUAUGAUUGCCAUUGUUUGGAUUGUGUGGAAACAUUUGGCUGUAUUAGCACAAUUUACCAUAUACAUUUUUACUCAGAUCUCAAUGAUUAGUCAACUCUGAAGUAAUAUUCUCUAUUUACUAAGUGUUAUGGUGUGUUCUUUACAGAGAAGAUGAGCUCUCCUUACCUGUGCAAACACCACCAGUGUUGAUGUUCUCCUGUAAAACGGCACUCAUCAUUUUCAGUGUACUUUUCCAUCCUCAGUAGGCAAACACUGUUUUCUGAGAGGCUGCAUAGUCUGGCCACUACAGAAUGACCGAGAGAAUGGGACAAAAAUCCAAGCAAGCUGGUCCUGGGGCUCUGUUCACAAACACAAACAGAGCCCCAGGACAGCAACA